GAAAUGCGAUAAGUAAUGUGAAUUGCAGAAUUCAGUGAAUCAUCGAAUCUUUGAACGCACAUUGCGCCCGCCAGUAUUCUGGCGGGCAUGCCUGUUCGAGCGUCAUUUCAACCAUCAAGCCCCCGGCGUGUGUUGGGGACCUGCGGCUGCCCGCAGGCCCUGAAAAACAGUGGCGGGCUCGCUGUCACACCGAGCGUAGUAGCAUACAUUCUCGCUCAGGGCGUGCUGCGGGUUCCGGCCGUUAAACGACCUUCAUAACCCAAGGUUGACCUCGGAUCAGGUAGGAAGACCCGCUGAACUUAAGC
rnacentral:misc_RNA from 1 species